rnacentral:rRNA from 1 species
UACAGAGGUCUCAAGCGUUGUUCGGAUUCAUUGGGCGUAAAGGGUGCGUAGGCGGCGCGGUAAGUCGGGUGUGAAAUCUCGGAGCUUAACUCCGAAACUGCAUUCGAUACUGCCGUGCUUGAGGACUGGAGAGGAGACUGGAAUUUACGGUGUAGCGGUGAAAUGCGUAGAUAUCGUAAGGAAGACCAGUGGCGAAGGCGGGUCUCUGGACAGUUCCUGACGCUCAGGCACGAAGGUCAGGGGAGCAAACGGG